GCUUUAAUCGGCAGGAAGUUGCAUUCAAAUAGGUCGUUUAAAGUGCUAAACACCUGGAGGUUAUGAUCUAAGCAUUAUCAGUCAAAGCCACAGAAAGAAAUGCACUGGAGUACAUUUCAAGGUGUGUCGGAAAGGUGAUGUACUAGGGAGGAGCUUCCAGACAUAAGGCCCUGACAGCUGGAGGUUAUACCAGUGACUGUGGAACAAUUAAAUGAAAACCAAAAAAAAUGUCGAUGCUAGUAAUACUAGGUGGACUGAGGAUCCAGUGGGAGGUGUUCUAGGAAACAAGAAUACCUGGAGGUAACCCACGCAGUCACGGGGAGAAUGUGCAAACUUCUCACAGACAGCACCCGAGAUCAGAAUCAAACCUGGGUCUCUGGUGCUGUGAGGCAGCAGCUCCACCAACUGCACCACUGUGCUGCCCCAAUGUUAUGAUGAUGUUACAGAAGCACAUACAGGUUCUAAAUGCAUGGCAUUAUCUAUCACAAAAAAAACAAACUACUGGAGGAGCUCAGCAGAUGGAGCAGCAUCUUUAAGAGACAUGGUGGAACGGAGGAAUGGUCAACAUUUUGGGUCGACACCCUGCAUCUCUUAAGACUAAGAGCUGGAUGCAUGAAAUUAUCUUCUCGAUGCGAUAAUGGUGGAGAGAGUCAACAGCUUUAAUUUCCCAGCCAUGCAUACCUUGUACUUGGGUAUGAUUGUGUUUGUGUACAGUGAGGUUUUACUGGAUGUAUGCAACAACAAAAAAAGAAUUUCACUGUAUCGAGGUAUAUGUGACAAUAAUGUCCCAUUAAACCCCAGAAAAAAAAAAUUCAAAGGAUUGCAAAAUGCUUAUAUUUCUUCUUGUUCAUCUAUCCAUUUGCUAAGGUCAUGGAUUCUUACACUGGCAGGUCAAAUGAUAUUUGUUCAUUGAGUGAAUGAUUACCAGGAUCAUGUCUUGUGUAAUGCUCCCAAUGCUCAUUUGAAUGAGGAUUGCAAUGCAUUGAGGGAUACGUUACUUGCAGUAUAAUUGUAACAUUGUAAUAUCAUUUAUUUAGGAUUUAAAUUUUCAAAAGAAACUAAGUAAAAACUGGCAACAGUUCAAAUGAUAACUUGCAUCAGAACUGCCCAGGGCCAAAAUCCACCAGACAGCACAGUACAGCAACAACUCCCUUUUUCUACACCUGAGGAAAUAGAAAACUUGAUUCAUACAAUAUCAACAUAUUUUCUCUCUAACGUCAGGAGUUAGUUCAUUUGCUUGCUUAAGAUGAGGUGAAAAUGAGGUGCUCGAUUUAAAAUGCAGCAUUAUGUCACUGCUAGAUUUUAUUUUAAAUCUGGCUUUACAAUAUCAAUGUUUCAAUUCCCAAGGUUAGCUUACUUAUCAAUAAGAUCAUGCAUUAACUCAAUGCUUUAAAAUGAUCACAUUUCUCCAAGACAAUUCCUAACGACAUUUUCCAGCAGAACAUUUUAGGUCACUUAACCCAAACAGAGAUAGACAGAUUCUUCCCAUGGCUAUCUGGACUACAAUUCUUCCCACCCUGCUUCCUGUAAGGACUCCAUCCCCUACUCCCAAUUCCUCCGCCUACGCCGCAUCUGCUCCCAGGAUGAGGCGUUCCACACCAGGGCAUCUGAAAUGUCCUCAUUGUUCAGGGAACGGGGGUUCCCCUCCUCCACCACAGAUGAGGCUCGCACAAGGGUCUCUUCCAUACCCCGCAACACUGCUCUGUCUCCCCAUCCCCAGUACAGUGAGGUACAGGUUCAGUGAAAAUCUUGCAGCAGUAUCAGAGGCACAUAGCUCAGACAACACACAAAAAAUAAAAUAUACUUGAAUUAUAUGUAAAUUCUGCCAGUGUGAAAAUAAACAAGUGUG